GCCGUCGUAGCUCAGUGGUAAGAGCACCUUGCGUCCUUUCUCGACAAACUCGCCCGGGUCGGGCCGGCAGAGAAAGGUUAACGAUCUCCUCGAGGCGGUUGCGGGUUCGAGUCCCGUCGGCGGCG
rnacentral:tRNA from 1 species